rnacentral:misc_RNA from 1 species
UCAUUUUAUCACUGUGAUACUUUUGGUUGCAGAGAUUGAAGUGUUUACUACACCAAGAUACUUUGACCAAUAUAUAUUUAUUGUAAUUUUUGAAAACACAUUCCAUUUGAUAUAAAUAUGAUCAUUUUUGCAAUAUAUUAGAACAUUCAGAGCUUUUUUCAAAUCUUUACUUACAAUCAUGUUUAUCAUGUUAGAAUUAAAUUAUGUUGUUGGGACCAAUGGAGAAACCAGUGUUGAUUGUGAUUUUAAGAUCAUUGUUUGAUAUUUACACAAUCAUAUACUAGUAGUAUUAUAUGUGUAUGCUGUUUUAUUGGAUAAAGAGCUAUUUCAGACAAAGAAAAAAUAAAAUUAGAUGUUUAGAUGUGGUUAUAUAAUUGCCUUGGAAUUUUUUUUUUCAAAACAAGAAUGGAAAUGGGUGUUUAUUUUUUCAAUUCUUUAGAUCUCUAGAUGUCAUUUCAUAAAUAUAAUGCAAUAGUAUUUGUAAUGCUGUACAUCUUUAUAUGCAAUUAAAAAAUUGUGACACAGUU